CCUUUAGACGCUCUAGGCGGCACGCGCGCUACAAUGGGUGGUAGAACGUGUAACUGCUCCCGAAAGGGAGGGUGAACCACGAAUACUUACCCGUGAAUGGGAUAGUUUGUUGCAAUUUUCGGACUUGAACUAGGAAUCCCUUGUAAGAAUGCUCAAGAAUAGCGUGCUGAAUACGUCCCUGCCGUUUGUACACACCGCCCGUCGUUUCUUCCGACUGAUACUCAUUGUGAGUUGCAAGGAUUCUUAUUGAAAAAUUGCUGCGAAUGCUUUGUAUUGGAGGAAGAAAAAGUCGUAACA
rnacentral:rRNA from 1 species